GGACGAACGCUGGCGGCGUGCUUAACACAUGCAAGUCGAACGGAAAGGCCCUGCUUGCAGGGUACUCGAGUGGUGAACGGGUGAGUAACACGUGGGUGAUCUGCCCUGCACUUCGGGAUAAGCCUGGGAAACUGGGUCUAAUACCGGAUAGGAGCCAUUUUUAGUGUGAUGGUUGGAAAGUUUUUUCGGUGUAGGAUGAGCUCGCGGCCUAUCAGCUUGUUGGUGGGGUAAUGGCCUACCAAGGCGGCGACGGGUAGCCGGCCUGAGAGGGUGGACGGCCACAUUGGGACUGAGAUACGGCCCAGACUCCUACGGGAGGCAGCAGUGGGGAAUAUUGCACAAUGGGCGCAAGCCUGAUGCAGCGACGCCGCGUGGGGGAUGACGGCCUUCGGGUUGUAAACUCCUUUCGCUAGGGACGAAGCUUUUUGUGACGGUACCUAGAUAAGAAGCACCGGCUAACUACGUG
rnacentral:rRNA from 1 species